rnacentral:rRNA from 1 species
UUGGAGGGCAAGUCUGGUGCCAGCAGCCGCGGUAAUUCCAGCUCCAAUAGCGUAUAUUAAAGUUGUUGCAGUUAAAAAGCUCGUAGUUGAAUUUCGGGAUCAGUUCGUCGGUCGUGCCUUUGGUAUGUACUGGUGUUACUGGUUCCUCCCUUCUGACGAACCGUCAUGUCAUUAAUUUGGUGUGGCGGGAAAUCAGGACUGUUACUUUGAAAAAAUUAGAGUGUUUAAAGCAGGCUCGCGCUUGAAUACAUUAGCAUGGAAUAAUGAAAUAGGACGUUCGAUCCUAUUUUGUUGGUUUCUAGGAUUGACGUAAUGAUUAAUAGGGAUAGUUGGGGGCAUUAGUAUUCAAUUGUCAGAGGUGAAAUUCUUGGAUUUAUUGAAGACGAACUACUGCGAAAGCAUUUGCCAAGGAUGUUUUCAUUAAUCAAGAACGAAAGUUGGGGGAUCGAAGACGAUCAGAUACCGUCGUAGUCUCAACCAUAAACUAUGCCGACUGGGAAUCGGGCGAUGUUACUUUUCUGACUCGCUCGGCGCCCCGAGGGAAACCAAAGUGUUUGGGUUC